rnacentral:rRNA from 1 species
AGAGUUUGAUCAUGGCUCAGGACGAACGCUAGCGGCGUGUCUAAGGCAUGCAAGUCGAGCGACGUGCCCCGACUUCGGUUGGGGAAUACGAGCGGCAAACGGGUGAGUAACACACUGGUAAUCUGCCUCUUUCUCAAGCAUAGCCCGUCGAAAGACGGAUUAAUACUUGAUAGUAAUGCGGGGACAUAAGUCAUUCGCAUUUAAAGAUUUUUCGGAAAGAGAGGAGCCUAUGGCUGAUUAGCUUGUUGGUAGGGUAAAAGCUUACCAAGGCUAUGAUCAGUAGCAGGCGUGAGAGCGUGACCUGCCUCACCGGGACUGAGACACUGCCCGGACUCCUACGGGAGGCUGCAGUCAAGAAUCUUCCGCAAUGGGCGAAAGCCUGACGGAGCGACGCCGCGUGCAGGAUGAAGGCCUUCGGGUUGUAAACUGCUUUUAUAUGGGAAGAAUUUGUGACGGUACCAUAUGAAUAAGAGGUUGCUAACUCUGUGCCAGCAGCAGCGGUAAUACAGAGACCUCAAGUGUUGUCCGGAUUUAUUGGGCGUAAAGCGUCCGCAGGUUGUUUGGAAAGUCAGGAGUUAAAACUUAGGGCUCAACCCUAAGACCACUCUUGAAACUUCCAAACUAGAGGAUGGGAGAGGCAAGCGGAACUACAGGUGUAGUCGUAAUAAGCGUUGAUAUCUGUAGGAACACCAAAGGCGAAGGCAGCUUGCUGGAACAUUCCUGACACUCAUGGACGAAAGCGUGGGUAGCGAACGGGAUUAGAUACCCCGGUAGUCCACGCCCUAAACGAUGUGCACUAGGUAUUGGCAGUAUCGACCCUGUCAGUGCCGUUUACAAAAGCUAACGCGUUAAGUGCACCGCCUGGGGAGUACGGCCGCAAGGCUAAAACUCAAAGGAAUAGACGGGGACCCGCACAAGCGGUGGAGCACGUGGUUUAAUUCGAUGAUAAGCGGAGAACCUUACCCAGACUUGACAUAUAGCUGCAUAUUUCCGGAGACGGAAAUAGCCUUCGAGGGUGCUAUACAGGUGCUGCAUGGUUGCCGUCAGCUCGUGCCGUGAGGUGUACCGUUAAGUCGGGAAACGAGCGCAACCCACGUUGUAUGUUAAAUUGUACAUGCAAGACUGCCUGGGCAACCAGGAGGAAGGAGUGGACGACGUCAAAUCAGCAUGGCUCUUACGUCUGGGGCUACACACAUGCUACAAUGGCCGGUACAAAGGGUAGCCAAGCCGCGAGGCGGAGCUAAUCCCAGAAAACCGGUCCCAGUUCAGAUUGAAGGCUGCAAUUCGCCUUCAUGAAGCCGGAAUCGCUAGUAAACGCGCAUCAGCCACGGCGCGUUGAAUACGUUCUCGGGUCUUGUACUCACCGCCCGUCAUACCACGAAAGUUGGCAAUACCCAAAGCUCUCUAGUAUUAGGGGGUUAAGGUAGGGUCAGUAAUCAGGGUAAAGUCGUAACAAGGUAA